rnacentral:rRNA from 1 species
UACGUAGGGAGCAAGCGUUGUUCGGAUUUACUGGGCGUAAAGGGCGCGUAGGCGGCAUAUUAAGUCAUCUGUGAAAUCUCCGAGCUUAACUCGGAACUGUCAGCUGAUACUGAUGUGCUAGAGUGCGGAAGGGGCAAUCGGAAUUCUUGGUGUAGCGGUGAAAUGCGUAGAUAUCAAGAGGAACACCUGAGGUGAAGACGGGUUGCUGGGCCGACACUGACGCUGAGUGCGCGAAAGCCAGGGGAGCGAACAGG